rnacentral:rRNA from 1 species
AUACGUAGGGAGCGAGCGUUGUCCGGAAUUACUGGGUGUAAAGGGAGCGUAGGCGGGACGGCAAGUCAGAUGUGAAAUACAUGGGCUCAACCCAUGGGCUGCAUUUGAACCUGCUGUUCUUGAGUGACGUAGAGGUAAGCGGAAUUCCUGGUGUAGCGUUGAAAUGCGUAGAUAUCAGGAGGAACACCGGUGGCGAAGGCGGCUUACUGGGCUUUUACUGACGCUGAGGCUCGAAAGCGUGGGGAGCAAACAGGAUUAGAUACCCUGGUAGUCCACGCUGUAAACGAUGAUCACUAGGUGUGGGGGGACUGACCCCUUCCGUGCCGCAGUUAACACAAUAAGUGAUCCACCUGGGGAGUACGGCCGCAAGGUUGAAACUCAAAUGAAUUGACGGGG